rnacentral:lncRNA from 1 species
CUCGAUGCUAUCUCUACUGCUGGCCCUAUUCACAGUUGGCGACUCAGCUGUAAGUGUACAAAUAAAGUAACUUAAAAAUGUUUACACUGUUACUUUUUUAAACAUAUUAUGUAAAAACCUGACAUUAUGUUCUUAUUUGACAAACUGCAAUACACUUUCAUUGUAACACAAACCAUUUUAAAUACCACUUAAUUAAUUUUGCCGGCUCAUUACAGUUGAAACUGCAAUGCAGUGAGAUACAAUUAAACUAAAAAUCUCUUGUCUCUAUUUUUCCAUUUUCCUUUUUGCCAACUCUGUCCUGUCUCCAAGUGCAGACCGCUUUGUGGCGACUCGACGUAAGUUCACACAGGAAUGACACUUUCAUGAAUAAGACAGUGUACCAUUAUUCAACACAUUAUGGACCCCUCAUCAUGUCCUAACUUCACAAUUUGUUUCCUUUGAUUAUGUAAUACUCACAGUUGGAAAUGAACAGCUUGAAUGUAAUAUGCAGUACACUUAUUUGCAUUUCAUUUCCAAUCCCUGGAAAGCAAUUUAUUACUAUUAAAUUGUGGAGUUGGAAUUUUUUAACGAUGAAAAUCCAAAUAAUUAUUAAUUGAAUGUGAUUCCCUCCUUUGUGCAUCUCUCAUAUUAAAAAAACAAGCUAAUUUAAUGUUCUUUAAUAUGGAAUACACAAUCAUUAUUUAUGCAGCCAUUGAUUUAUUUUAUUAUUCAUUUAAUCCUAUGUUGAGAUAUGUGUAUAUCCUUCUAAGGUACCUUGCAUGCUUCUGUUUAGAGCUCAUGGAGGUGCUUGGUCUCAUUACUACUUUUUACAUUGUUGGAAUACUUAAAACACAGUAAAGGAAAUUACUUUCUCCAAAAUACAUAAUAUUUUAUCAGCAGAGUAAUCCAUUGUUACUUUUGCUUACCAGGACAUGGUUAUGAACAUUAUAAAGGGAACUCAAAGUAAAGAGUCUAAAAUACACAGGGAUAGUAGAACUUUUUGUAAAAUACUUUGAGGUCCUAAAUUUAAAAAGGUGGCUCUGUGGUUGGAUUCAAGUUGGACUCACUGGAGGAUGUGGUGAAGAGAUGUACUGUGAGGAAGGUGGAGGCUAUUCUAGAGAACAUGGAUCACCCACUUCACAACACCUUGGUGGACCGAAAGGCCUAUGGAGGUGGACGGCUCCUCUCUCUUCGCUGCAGGAAAAAAAGAUUCAGAAGAUCUUUUGUACCCACAGCCAUCAGACUCUACAAUUUGAAUAGUAGAUGACUUUUUGAGACAUGACAAAUGAGACUAUAGACAAUUGAAUUUCCCUUAGGGGAUAAAUAAAGUUCUUCGUAUCUUAAAUUAAUUUUUGAUUAAAUCUUAUGAACACUUUGGAUUUUUAGUUCUUAUUAAUUUGAUUGAUGGGUUAUCAAACAGGGCAAUGGUCAAUUCCAGAAUUUGACUCAACUUGGCUUUUGAUAGAUGUAUAGUUAAGGAUAGCCAUAUGGUGGGUUAAGUAAAAGCACAUAAUAAUGACAUUAGCUUUGGGUGGAUGUUGGUUCAUUUUAUUUCUUUUAUAAAAAAUGAUUCAUGUUUGUUUUCAUUGUGUCUUACAGGUAUCGUGUCCAGUCUCCCCACUCUCCCCUAUCUUUUUGGCCACUCUGACUUUCCUGUCUCCUCUACCGCUCUGUCUGAUUAAAAAGCCACUCUAUCUUGUGUCCCCCUUUUCUCUAUCCCUCUAGCUAAAUUUUGGACGCUCUGACUUUCCUGUCUCCUCUACCGCUCUAUCUAAUUGAAAAGCCACUCUAUCUUGUGUCCCCCUUUGCUCUAUCCCUCUAGCUAAAUUUUGGACGCUCUGACUUUCCUGUCUCCUCUACCGCUCUAUCUGAUUGACAAGCCUUUCAGAAACCUAUGUAACAAGCCUUUCAGAAACCUAUGUAACAAGCCUUUCAGAAACCUAUGUAACAAGCCUUUCAGAAACCAGUGUAACAAGCCUUUCAGAAACCAUUGUAACAAGCCUUUCAGAAACCAGUGUAACAAGCCUUUAAGAAACCUAUUGAAAUUGCCUCUAUUGAGAAACCAUCUUAUGAAACUGCUUCCAUUGAGAAACCUAUUGAAACUGCUACCUUUUGAGAAACCUUUUGAAACACCAUUUUUUGGAAACAUUUGAAUAAAUCAUUUUGAGAAACCUUUUGCUAACCCCUUUUUGAGAAACAUUUUGAUAUACCAUUUUUGAGAAACCUUCUGAUAAACCUUUUGAAACACAAUUUUUGAGAAACCUCUUGAUACACCGUUUUUCAGAAGCCUUUUGAUAAACUGAUUUU